rnacentral:rRNA from 1 species
CCAAUAGCGUAUAUUAAAGUUGUUGCAGUUAAAAAGCUCGUAGUUGAAUUUCGGGAUCAGAUUGUCGGUCGUGCCUCGGUACGCACUGGCAUUAUUGGUUCCUACCUUCUGAAGAACCGCGAUGUCAUUAAUUUGGUGUCGUGGGGAAUCAGGACUGUUACUUUGAAAAAAUUAGAGUGUUUAAAGCAGGCGCACGCUUGAAUACAUUAGCAUGGAAUAAUGAAAUAGGACGUUUGAUUCUAUUUUGUUGGUUUCUAGGAUCGACGUAAUGAUUAAUAGGGAUAGUUGGGGGCAUUAGUAUUCAAUUGUCAGAGGUGAAAUUCUUGGAUUUAUUGAAGACUAACUACUGCGAAAGCAUUUGCCAAGGAUGUUUUCAUUAAUCAAGAACGAAAGUUAGGGGAUCGAAGACGAUCAGAUACCGUCGUAGUCUUAACCAUAAACUAUGCCGACUAGGGAUCGGAUGAUGUUAAUUUUAUAAUGACUCAUUCGGCGCCUUGCG